GAAAUGCGAUAAGUAAUGUGAAUUGCAGAAUUCAGUGAAUCAUCGAAUCUUUGAACGCACCUUGCGCGCCUUGGUAUUCCUUGGAGCAUGCCUGUUUGAGUAUCAUGAAAUCUUCAAAGUAAAUCUUUUGUUAACUCAAUUGGUUUCUACUUUGGUAUUGGAGGUCUUUGCAGCUUCACACCUGCUCCUCUUUGUUCAUUAGCUGGAUCUCAGUGUUAUGCUUGGUUCCACUCGGCGUGAUAAGUUAUCUAUCGCUGAGGACACUGUAAAAGGUGGCCAAGGUAAAUGCAGAUGAACCGCUUCUAAUAGUCCAUUGACUUGGACAAUACUUUUAUGAUCUGAUCUCAAAUCAGGUAGGACUACCCGCUGAACUUAAGC
rnacentral:misc_RNA from 1 species